AACCUUAUGGACCUGCGGGCGUAUACCUGCGGAGGGAUCAUUACCGAGUUUACAAACUCCCAACCCUAUGUGAACCUUACCAAUCGUUGCUUCGGCGGGCUUAGCCCCCGCGCCCUCGCCGGCGCCGGGAGAAAGGCGCCCGCCGGGGACCCCAAACCCAAUGUUUUUCAUGCAGUAUUUCUGAGUGGCAAACGCAAAAAUAAAUCAAAACUUUUAGCAACGGAUCUCAGAUCGGAAGAG
rnacentral:misc_RNA from 1 species